rnacentral:rRNA from 2 species
AUUACCAACACAUUUUGGGCUUCGUUGGUUGUGGAGCACAUGAAAACUCCACAGUUAAGCGUGCACAGGUAGGAGCAGUACCAGGACGGGUGACCUCCUGUGAAGUCUCAAAUGUGGCAACC